UCUAAAAUAUAAUACACGGACUUGACUUUUUUCAGAUGCAUGUACAUUUGAUUAGACAUUGAUCACUUUAUCAUCAUUUUGAUUAAUUACAAAAAACAACAAACAAUUUACGAUGGUUGACAAAUUACUUAUCAACAUCAACAACCUAAUAUAUACAAUGUGCUAUACGUGCUUUUUUAUUAGUUUACAUUUUUGGGGGAGUGUUUUAUUUCCCCGUUAUACAAGUGCUUUUCUGUCAGUUAAUUUUCACUGCACAUGCUUUUGUACUUUAAUCUGUAUACCUUUUCAGCAUUUUCCAUUAAAAAAUUGUUAUAAUAAAAAGCGAAAGUGUUCUUGGCAGUUAAUGCGAAAUAAUUAACUAGGGUUUUUUAAGUUAUUCAUAUAAUGGCUAUUUCACCGGGAUUUGAAAAAGGAAAUGUAAUUUAUACUAACGUUAUAAAAUUAAGGCAUUUAAUUAUG
rnacentral:misc_RNA from 1 species